UAAUUUUUAGUGUAAAGGCACAUCAAGUUUUGAAUUUGAAAGCGAUAAAAUAUUAUCAAAAUUAA
rnacentral:tRNA from 1 species